CAGUAGCCACGGUAAUACGUAGGGUGCAAGCGUUAAUCGGAAUUACUGGGCGUAAAGCGUGCGCAGGCGGUUAUAUAAGACAGAUGUGAAAUCCCCGGGCUCAACCUGGGAACUGCAUUUGUGACUGUAUAGCUAGAGUACGGCAGAGGGUGAUGGAAUUCCGCGUGUAGCAGUGAAAUGCGUAGAUAUGCGGAGGAACACCGAUGGCGAAGGCAAUCACCUGGGACUGUACUGACGCUCAUGCACGAAAGCGUGGGGAGCGAACAGGAUUAGAUACCCGUGUAGUCCCUGUCUCUUAUAA
rnacentral:rRNA from 1 species